UACGUAGGGGGCUAGCGUUGUCCGGAAUCAUUGGGCGUAAAGCGCGUGUAGGCGGCCCGGUAAGUCCGCUGUGAAAGUCCAGGGCUCAACCCUGGGAUGCCGGUGGAUACUGUCGGGCUCGAGUCCGGAAGAGGCGAGUGGAAUUCCUGGUGUAGAGGUGAAAUUCGUAGAUAUCAAGCGGAACACCGGUGGCGAAGGCGGCCUUCUGGACAGUGACUGACGCUGAGAUGCGAAAGCGUGGGGAGCAAACAGG
rnacentral:rRNA from 1 species